rnacentral:rRNA from 1 species
UACGGGGGGAGCAAGCGUUGUUCGGAUUUACUGGGCGUAAAGGGCGCGUAGGCGGCGCAACAAGUCACUUGUGAAAUCUCCGGGCUUAACCCGGAGCGGCCAAGUGAUACUGUCGUGCUAGAGUGCGGAAGGGGCUACUGGAAUUCUCGGUGUAGCGGUGAAAUGCGUAGAUAUCGAGAGGACCACCGGUGGCGAAGGCGGCCAACUGGACGAAUACUGACGCUGAGACUCGAAAGCGUGGGGAGCAAACAGG